CAGGUCCCAGGAUCAUCCGUGAAUCCGGAAGGUCAAAAGGUCAACCUUUCUGAUAUCGAUGGCUGAAUGAACCAAGCGGUGGAGAUACAGAUGUGGUAAUGUAUAAUAUUUUAUGAUACUUAUUUAUUUCCUUAAUUAUUGUUUAUAUAUUUCUCAUUAAUCAUUUAUUUAUUUAUUUUCUAGAGCGUCCAUAAGCGGGCUAUUUACCCUCGGGCUAUUUUGUGGAGGGCUGUUUUGCCCAGGGUUGUUCUGGGUAGGGUUAGUGGCCUGUCCGGGACUGGUCAGUACAUGGACAAUAGACCAUCACAGACUCAUAUUUGCUCUAUAUAAUUUUUUCUUUUGUCAUUUCCGGUCCCAGGAUUUUUUUUCCGAAUGAACUCAGCAGUGGAGAUACGGAUGUUGUAAUGUAUCAUUUUUUAUGAUAUUUAUUUAUUUAUUCCUGCCCUCAAUUAUUACUUAUAUAUUUCUCAUUAAUCAUUUAUUUAUUUAUUUUCUAGAGUGUCCAUAAGCGGGCUAUUUAGCCUCGGGCUAUUUUGUGGAGGGCUGUUUUGCCCAGGGUUGUUCUGGGUAGGGUUAGUGGCCUGUCCAGGACUGGUCAGUAUAAGGACAAUAAAGAGAGGGUUGAAAUGGUUAAGUUUAGGGUUAGGAUUAGAAAAAAUCCAAGAGCUGAAGCACAGUCCAGCUCUGGUAAUGCACAGUCCUUCAAUACUCCUUCUGGCCGCUCUCCUGCCCCGGCCAAGGCCUGCCCCCACGGCCUAGGCCCACCACUUCACCACCAAUAUAUUUGGUCUUUUUAACGUUGAAC
ensembl:lncRNA